AUUGAACGCUGGCGGCAGGCCUAACACAUGCCAGUCGAGCGGAUGAAGGGAGCUUGCUCCUGGAUUCAGCGGCGGACGGGUGAGUAAUGCCUAGGAAUCUGCCUGGUAGUGGGGGAUAACGUCCGGAAACGGGCGCUAAUACCGCAUACGUCCUGAGGGAGAAAGUGGGGGAUCUUCGGACCUCACGCUAUCAGAUGAGCCUAGGUCGGAUUAGCUAGUUGGUGGGGUAAAGGCCUACCAAGGCGACGAUCCGUAACUGGUCUGAGAGGAUGAUCAGUCACACUGGAACUGAGACACGGUCCAGACUCCUACGGGAGGCAGCAGUGGGGAAUAUUGGACAAUGGGCGAAAGCCUGAUCCAGCCAUGCCGCGUGUGUGAAGAAGGUCUUCGGAUUGUAAAGCACUUUAAGUUGGGAGGAAGGGCAGUAAGUUAAUACCUUGCUGUUUUGACGUUACCAACAGAAUAGGCACCGGCUAACUUCGUG
rnacentral:rRNA from 1 species